rnacentral:rRNA from 1 species
AGGAAAAGAAACCAACAGGGAUUGCCCUAGUAACGGCGAGUGAAGCGGCAACAGCUCAAAUUUGAAAUCUGGCGCAAGCCCGAGUUGUAAUUUGUAGAGGAUGCUUCUAGGUAGCGACCGGUCUAAGUUCCUUGGAACAGGACGUCAUAGAGGGUGAGAAUCCCGUAUGUGACCGGCCCGCACCUUCUACGUAGCUCCUUCGACGAGUCGAGUUGUUUGGGAAUGCAGCUCUAAAUGGGAGGUAAAUUUCUUCUAAAGCUAAAUACCGGCCAGAGACCGAUAGCGCACAAGUAGAGUGAUCGAAAGAUGAAAAGCACUUUGGAAAGAGAGUUAAAAAGCACGUGAAAUUGUUGAAAGGGAAGCGCUUACAACCAGACUUCUGGGCGGUGUUCCGCCGGUCUUCUGACCGGUCUACUCGCCGUCCCGAGGCCAACAUCAUCUGGGACCGCUGGAUAAGACCUCAGGAAUGUAGCUCCCCUCGGGGAGUGUUAUAGCCUGUGGUGAUGCAGCGCGUCUCGGGUGAGGUCCGCGCUUCGGCAAGGAUGUUGGCGUAAUGGUUGUCAGCGGCCCGUCUUGAAACACGGACCAAGGAGUCUAACAUCUAUGCGAGUGUUCGGGUGUCAAACCCCUACGCGUAAUGAAAGUGAACGGAGGUGGGAAGCGCAAGCUGCACCAUCGACCGAUCCUGAUGUCCUCGGAUGGAUUUGAGUAAGAGCAUAGCUGUUGGGACCCGAAAGAUGGUGAACUAUGCCUGAAUAGGGUGAAGCCAGAGGAAACUCUGGUGGAGGCUCGCAGCGGUUCUGACGUGCAAAUCGAUCGUCAAAUUUGGGUAUAGGGGCGAAAGACUAAUCGAACCAU